rnacentral:rRNA from 1 species
GACGAACGCUGGCGGCGUGCCUAACACAUGCAAGUCGAACGGAAAGGCCCUGCUUGCAGGGUACUCGAGUGGCGAACGGGUGAGUAACACGUGGGUGAUCUGCCCUGCACUUCGGGAUAAGCCUGGGAAACUGGGUCUAAUACCGGAUAGGACCAUCGUUUAGUGUCGGUGGUGGAAAGUUUUUCGGUGCAGGAUGAGCUCGCGGCCUAUCAGCGUGUUGGUGGGGUAAUGGCCUACCAAGGCGUCGACGGGUAGCCGGCCGGCGAGGGUGGGCGGCCACAUUGGGACUGAGACACGGCCCAGACUCCUACGGGAGGCAGCAGUGGGGAAUAUUGCACAAUGGGCGCAAGCCUGAUGCAGCGACGCCGCGUGGGGGAUGAAGGCCUUCGGGUUGUAAACUCCUUUCAACCAUGACGAAGCGUAAGUGACGGUAGUGGUAGAAGAAGCACCGGCUAACUACGUGCCAGCCGCCGCAGUAA